GCUGGUGGGCCAACAGCAGCACCUGUUCCUUGCCCAGGCUCCUGGGCCACCUGCUGAGGCCCCAGCCCCAGUGUUUGCUUGAGGCAGCUCUGGCCCUCUGGCCAUCCUCUGUCCCAAGCUGCCUGGAGUAGAAAUCUCCUGGGAUCAACAUUGCUGUGGGUUUCAGGGUACCCGGACUCUUAUUUCCCCAACCAGGUUACAAAUGGCUUGAAGAAGGCUGGGGCUGUGAGUUAGAAACUCUCAGGAUGUGUGAGAAAUUCAACAAAUGUUUGGAAAAGCAACAGGAAUGGCAGCUCUUUUCUGCUGGAAGAGACAUUUCUGUUCGUGUAACUUGAGACUGAAAGAGUGUGGCCAACCCGGGAGGAAGCACACAGGGAGGGCUGGGGGCUGUGUUCAAGAGGUGUGGCUGGCAGAGAGGGGAUGGAGGGUGGAGGGGGGCACUCCCGUCAGAGGAAAGCAGGGUGAGCUUUAGGACUGGGCGGCCGCAGAGCCCAGGUUGAGUCUGGACCUCCCUGAUGCCCCAGGGGCCCUUCUCAAGGAAAUCAACUGUAGGAGGCAGCCAGCCUCAGAGACUCCCCCCCGGCCAGCAUCCCAAGCCCCCAGUGGAAAGCCCAGGGAGGACAGCCUGACGGGGCCACUUACCGAUCUUGGCCAAGCUGGCCACGAGGAUCCAGAGCGCGAUGACGUAGGGAUCCUGCACGUGGGCCCACUCGAAGGUGACCACCUGGAAGCCCCCGCUCUCGCCGUGCGCGCCGCCGGGCUCCACCUCGACGCCCCCGGCCCGCGCCAGCCCGCCCAGCGCCAGCGCCAGCAGCAGCCCCCGGUCGGGGCCCCGGGCCCCGAGUCCCCACAUUGCCGCCUGCUCAGCGCAGGGCUGGGACGCGCAUGUCGCGGGGGGUCCCGGCUGGGCUGGGCCGACGCGCGGGGCUGGGACCCGGCGAGGACCCGGCGCGCUCCGGUGCCGGUACCGGCUACAGUCCGAUCCCCGCCCGCCGGGGUGGCCUUUAAUCCCGCGGCCCCCUCCCGCCCCGGGGCGGAGCCUGCCCGCCCCCGCCGCGCACUCGCGAGCGCAGACACCGCCGCAGCUCCCGGCACGCCCGCCCCGCCCGCGCACGCCCACCCCGCGCUCCCUGGUGCCCACCCUCCCCCGGAGCCCGCGGCCUGGAGGUCCGGGAGGUCGCGGCAAGAGCGAGCCCGGGACUGCGCGGCCGCCUUCCUGGGGCGUGGGGAGCACAGCGCGGGGCAGCGGGACAGGCGGUUCCGCGCAGCUCCUGGGAUGCCCGGGCAGCUGUGGGUGCGCUCGCCCCAACCCUCCUUCAUAAACGCAGGGCCUGGGGCUGCGCAGACCCCACAGGGCGGCCCAAGGGUGCACAGGGGCCCCAGGUGUGUCUUCACACAGCCCCUCGCUAUUGUCUUCAGCAGGAACCUGCAUUCCACAGCCGGACCGGCCACUUACCAGAACUCGGGG
rnacentral:lncRNA from 1 species